UCCUGAUUAAUAUACUGGAUAUGACCACAGUUUCAUUCACAUUAAGGCAAUAUUCAGGUACAGUUUUCUAAUAAAUCCAACUGUAUUAUAAACACAAUCUACCUCUGGACUGCCAACAUGGAGAGACAUAUGCUGCUCAUGAUUCUCAUUGUAGUUACAGGUGGAUUUGCUGACAGAAUUGGACCAGGAGAAGGAAAUACUAAUAUAAUGAAGGGAGAAGGAGAGUCUGUGACACUGAGAUGUUCAUAUGAUACAAGCAGCAAUGAUGUUUGGCUUUACUGGUACAGACAGUAUCCUAAAGGAGAACCUCAGUAUUUACUGCUCAAAGGUGCUCGAUCACAGAGUGGUGGUCAGGAUAUAUCAGACCGUCGGUUUCACUCAACAACAUCCCAGUCAUCCACUGAACUCAUUAUUGAUAAAGCAGCUCUGUCAGAUUCAGCUCUCUAUUAUUGUGCUCUAAGAGUUUUAGCCCAGUGAUACAAAAUGCCUGAGAAGCUUUACAAAAACUCAAAUACACAAUGUGCUUUAAACAGUCUUUAAUCUAACAGCAUCAAACCACAAUUUAUUAUUUUUUUGUAAACUACAGCUCUGGAAAUACCACUGAGGCAACACCUGUGAAUAUGGGAGAUUAUGAAAGGUUAUAUAUGGAGCAUGUGAAACUAUCAUUAAGCAUUUGUUUUUCUAAAUAUUUAAAAAAGACUCUGCAUUCAAAAAUCAUUCAGUAAACAAAGGGAAUGGGAUUUGUUAAACUAAAAAUUGAACAAAAACUAUAGAUGGAGAGGAUCUGCAGUCGUCAUGUAUAACAGGAAGAGGAGGAGUUUAACACAGACAUUAG